GAAGUAUGAAUGGAAAUUGGGUAUGUGAAAUGUGAAUAUAUAAGUGAAAAGGAAUGAACAGGAACUUGUGAAUGAAAUGUAUAAAUAUAGGCUGAAUGUGCUAUAUAUGAGUGAAAUAUCUGGAAAAAAUGUGCAUUUGAAUAUUUGGAAAACAGCAUUGUGGGACUAGUGUUUGGAAUGGGAGAUAGUGAGGGAGAAGUGGUGUGAUGUGCUGAGAUAUAACAAUAAAAAAAUCAGCAUGUUAGAGUAAAAAUGUGUGAAUGACAGAAUGAUAUGGGUGAAGAUGAAACUGGGAUUGCAGAAGUACUUUUGAUUGUUGUACAUGCUCCAAUAUAUGAUGUGAGUGAAUAUGAGAAAAACAAGUUCCAGUAUGCUGUGAAUGAAUGUCUUGGUUGUGAGCAAGUGAUUAUGGCAAGCUAUUUGAAUAGCAGGAUUGAUAUGCAAAAAUUGGUUAUAAAGUUUGGCAACCUAAGAAUGAAUAAUAGUGGGGUAUGAUCGAUGGAGGUUUGAACUGAAAGAAGGCUGUUUUUCAAAUAUUUUCUUCAAGCACAAGACCAUUCAUUUUAGUA
rnacentral:lncRNA from 1 species